AAGACCUUGCGCUUUUGGAGCGGCCGAUGUCUGAUUAGCUUGUUGGUGAGGUAAAGGCUUACCAAGGCUUCGAUCAGUAGCUGGUCUGAGAGGACGGCCAGCCACACUGGGACUGAGACACGGCCCAGACUCCUACGGGAGGCAGCAGUGGGGAAUUUUGGACAAUGGGGGCAACCCUGAUCCAGCCAUGCCGCGUGAGUGAAGAGGGCCUUCGGGUUGUAAAGCUCUUUCAGCCGGAACGAAACGGUUACGGUUAAUACCCGUGACUACUGACGGUACCGGAAGAAGAAGCACCGGCUAACUACGUGCCAGCAGCCGCGGUAAUACGUAGGGUGCAAGCGUUAAUCGGAAUUACUGGGCGUAAAGCGUGCGCAGGUGGUUUUGUAAGUCAGAUGUGAAAUCCCCGGGCUUAACCUGGGAACU
rnacentral:rRNA from 1 species